UGUGUGUUAUGCCUCUAUGUUUUUAUCAUGAGUUCAGUAUCAUAGUCUUGGACAUUCAGGACUAAAUAGUUUCACUUCCCUCAGCCUUCUGCCGUCUGUCACCAUCCUAUCAGCUCAGUCCAGUCGUCUGUCACCGUUAUCAGCUCAGACCAGUUCCUCCUGCUGCCACUAAGCAGUCCCAGCUCUGUAAACAUGUUCCCCAGCCUUCAUAUACCUGCCUCAUUCACCCACUCACUGCCAGAUGGUCUGGUCUGAUUUUAUGUGCUCUGUCGUAACGCUCCUGGUUCUGUUUGCUGAACCUGCUGGAUGUAGAAACUCUGCCUGUGUUCGGCCCUCACUGAAGGUUUCCAGUGUCUGCCUGCUGCUAGUCUGCUCUGUUUCCUGUGAGGUCCUGCUGCUUGCUCUGGUGAACCUUCAGCCUGCAUUAUCUGCUCCAGUCAACUCCUGCCUUCACCACCGGCUCUGGUUCAUCACCGCCUGCACCUCCUGAUGUACUGAAGGUUCCUCAUCAGUGAUGCAGAAAACUUCAUGUCUACAGAGUGUUGAUCAGUCAGAGAAAUGAUUGAAGUGAAACAGAUCUUACCAUCAUGAUGCUGACCAACAGCUCACCAAUCAUCCCUCCUGAUGGAGACCAGCACCAUCUAUCUCCACCUCUGAGAACCUGCUGAUGUCUCCUGAGCCUCCACAAUCAUUACAGCAUCUAAAUGACUUUAACAAACUGAAUUAUGUCUUCUUGACAGAAACACAUCAGAAGAGAAAAUCCACAACUUGCUGCCUGGAUUUGUUCCCUCUGAGUUUCUAAAAGCAGUUUUUAGCUGUGAUGCCCCUGAAAUAUUACAGAUAGUAAAUACUUCCCUCCAGUUAGUUUGUUUUCUAAAGGCUGAAAACUGCAGAGAUCAAACCUCUGUUAGAGAAACCAACUCUAGAUCCAUGGAUAAUAAGUCCCUACAGGAUCAGAACUGAUCCACUGGUUCUGGAAAAGAUCAUUGAAAAUGGUUCUGAUGAACAAAUGUAUGACUUUCUGAUGAAAUGAAUCUCUUCAGUGAUUUCUAGUCAGGCUUCAGACCACAGCACAGAGACUGCACUGCUAAACGUUUACAAUGAUGCUCAUCUUGACUGGAAUGGCUCCAGAACUCCUCUGUUGGUUCUACUGGAUCUCAGUUCUGCUGAACACAGUUCAUCACAACAUGUUGAUGAUCCAACUAGAACACUGGCUGGAUUAUCUGGUUCUGGGCUAAACUGGUUCACACCAUAUUUGGCAGACAUGGAUAACUUUGUGUCAUCUGGUAAAUAAAUAUAAAUCUGGACCAACAAAAAUUAAACGUGGGGUUCCUCAAGGAUCCAUUUUCAGCCACUAUUAUUUCUCCUCCAUCUGAUGCCAACAGGUCAGAUUCUAGAGUUCUCCAGCAUCUCCUAACAUCCAUGCUGACUACAUGUGACUUGUAAUCUCCAUGUUGCUGCUGAGCCUGGCUCACUGCACUCACUGAGUCAGUGUGUCCAUAAUAUCAAUGAGCGCAUCAGUCACAAUAUGCUACAGCUUCAUGCAGACAGAAAACAUCAUUUUUAGUCCAGAACUGUGAGGAUCUAGAUCAGUGGUCAGCUAGACUCUAUGAAACAUGAAGCUUUGACCACAUUUCUGUUAUUUUAGUCUCUCUGCACUGGCUGCCUGAACAUUUUAGGAUUCAUUUUAAAAUGCUUUUAUCUGCUUCUAAAGCUCUAAAUGGCCUUGCCACACAUUAGCUGUCUGAACUAGUACAUCCUGCACAUCCUCUGUUCCCUCAGGUCACUGAUCAGCUGAUCCUGAGUCAGCCAAAGAUGAAGCUUAAGCUCAGGGUGACUGAGCUUUAGCUGCAGCAGAUCUAGAAUUAUGAAACAACCUUCCCUUGGACAUCAGACAGUUCUCCUCCCUGUGUUUCACAUUCAUUUAUAAAA